CUUGGAGGCUCCCUGGGAACACGCAGGGCGGUCACGGCGGCCUGCCCAGGGCGCAGCGGGGUCGACCUUUGUGCGGGGCGGGUCCCUGGCAGCCUCGGCCCGGACUCGCCGCCAACGAGGAGCCGAGCGCCCUGGAGAACGCGUCGGGGCUGAGCCGGGGUCCAGCAGCCGCCGCUAUGGACAUCCCGCCGCUGGCCGGCAAGAUCGCGGCGCUGUCGCUGAGCGCCCUCCCGGUGUCCUACGCGCUCAACCACGUCUCGGCGCUCUCGCAGGAGAGCCAUACCUGCGCACAGCGCACGGAGUCUUCAUCUGCUACUGGGAUGGCACUGUUCACUACCUCCUCUACCUGGCCAUGGCCGGCGCCAUCUGCAGAAGGAAGAGAUACCGGAAUUUUGGACUCUACUGGCUGGGUUCCUUCGCCAUGAGCAUCCUGGUGUUCCUUACAGGAAACAUUCUUGGCAAAUACAGCUCCGAGAUCAGGCCUGCCUUCUUCCUCACCAUCCCCUACCUGCUGGUGCCAUGCUGGGC
rnacentral:lncRNA from 1 species